AAGUCGUAACAAGGUUUCCGUAGGUGAACCUGCGGAAGGAUAAUACGUUCUAAUCAACGUAAUACUCAAUCGUGAACUGUUCCCUUGUGAGUCAAUUCAUUUGUGAGUUUUGUGUGGUCGAAUAAACAAGCAUGGAAAUUCAUGAACGGCCCCUUCGCCGAGGAUUAAUAAAUCGGGGAGACCGAUUCGACUCAUUCACAAGGCGUUUUUUUUCUUUGCUUUAACCUUUUUCACCCCAAGUAACAAUUUAUGAACUAAAUCUGUUGAACAACUUGCUUAACUUCAAACAAAAUAUCGAAACUUAAGAACAACUCUUAACAACGGAUAUCUUGGUUCUC
rnacentral:misc_RNA from 1 species